CAGCAGCCGGGGAAUACGUAGGGUGCAAGCGUUAAUCGGAAUUACUGGGCGUAAAGCGUGCGCAGGCGGUUAUAUAAGACAGAUGUGAAAUCCCCGGGCUCAACCUGGGAACUGCAUUUGUGACUGUAUAGCUAGAGUACGGCAGAGGGGGAUGGAAUUCCGCGUGUAGCAGUGAAAUGCGUAGAUAUGCGGAGGAACACCGAUGGCGAAGUCAAUCCCCUGGGCCUGUACUGACGCUCAUGCACGAAAGCGUGGGGAGCAAACAGGAUUAGAUACCCCAGUAGUCCCUGUCUCUUAUACA
rnacentral:rRNA from 1 species